rnacentral:rRNA from 1 species
AUUGAACGCUGGCGGCAUGCUUUACACAUGCAGGUCGAACGGCAGCGCGGGCUUCGGCCUGGCGGCGAGUGGCGAACGGGUGAGUAAUGCAUCGGAACGUGCCCAGUAGUGGGGGAUAGCCCGGCGAAAGCCGGAUUAAUACCGCAUACGACCUGAGGGUGAAAGCGGGGGACCGAAAGGCCUCGCGCUAUUGGAGCGGCCGAUGUCGGAUUAGCUAGUUGGUGGGUAAAGGCUUACCAAGGCGACGAUCCGUAGCUGGUCUGAGAGGACGACCAGCCACACUGGGACUGAGACACGGCCCAGACUCCUACGGGAGGCAGCAGUGGGGAAUUUUGGACAAUGGGGGCAACCCUGAUCCAGCCAUGCCGCGUGCGGGAAGAAGGCCUUCGGGUUGUAAACCGCUUUUGUUCGGGAAGAAAUCCUCUGGGCUAAUACCCCGGGGGGAUGACGGUACCGGAAGAAUAAGCACCGGCUAACUACGUG